AUACGUAGGUGGCGAGCGUUGUCCGGAUUUACUGGGCGUAAAGGGAGCGUAGGCGGAUUUUUAAGUGAGAUGUGAAAUACUCGGGCUUAACCUGAGUGCUGCAUUUCAAACUGGAAGUCUAGAGUGCAGGAGAGGAGAAGGGAAUUCCUAGUGUAGCGGUGAAAUGCGUAGAGAUUAGGAAGAACACCAGUGGCGAAGGCGACUUACUGGACUGUAACUGACGCUGAGUCACGAAAGCGUGGGUAGC
rnacentral:rRNA from 1 species